rnacentral:lncRNA from 1 species
CCGGCGGCUGCCGUGGCGGGUGGGCGGCUGCCAUUCUCUUCUCGGCCAGUUCUCGAGCGCCUCCCCGGGCCCCGCCCUGCAGCCUCGGUCUCCCUGGCGCUGCGCGGCCUAGGGGACUGGGCUGCUGGCCUCCGGGUGCGGGGUGGGGGCAGGCUCUGACCUGGGGCGUCCUGGCCGCGUGAGCCGCGGGAUGGGGGCCCGGGCCCCGGAGGAGGCGCCGCUGUUGUGUUCCUUGGUGGAGAGGGCGCUGCCGGCCCUGCGCGGUUUCCAGCCAGGAAGCUUCGGGAAGCCUGGUUUCAGACGCAGAGGCCAAGAUGUGGGCCCAGCCCUGUGCCAGAAGGCUGGCUGGAAUAAAGGGAUGGGCAGGCUGGCAUGGGGACACCCGCUGCCCCUGCCUGGGUAGUGCUGUGUAUUUCCGCCGGCCAGGGGCCACUGCCAGGACCACCCCUCCAUUUUCAUAUCCCGAUUCUUAAGUUCUGCCAUUGUGGUAUUCUGGUGGAAAAAAAAGAACCGCUUGGCUGUUUUUGAACUGUCUGGAACCUAAGAUCCCGAAUCCCCCCCCCGCCCCCCCGCAGGGGGAAAAUCUAUAUGGAAAACAUUUAUUUUAAAAUACAGGAUGAAGUGAAUUAAAAGAUUUAAAUGCA